rnacentral:rRNA from 2 species
GAGGACGUGGCGAGGCGGCUGUCUGGUCUGUAACUGACGCUGAGGCUCGAAAGCAUGGGUAGCGAACAGGAUUAGAUACCCUGGUAGUCCAUGCCGUAAACGAUGAAUGCUAGGUGUUGGAGGGUUUCCGCCCUUCAGUGCCGCAGCUAACGCAUUAAGCAUUCCGCCUGGGGAGUACGACCGCAAGGUUGAAACUCAAAGGAAUUGACGGGGGCCCGCACAAGCGGUGGAGCAUGUGGUUUAAUUCGAAGCAACGCGAAGAACCUUACCAGGUCUUGACAUCUUUUGAUCACCUGAGAGAUCAGGUUUCCCCUUCGGGGGCAAAAUGACAGGUGGUGCAUGGUUGUCGUCAGCUCGUGUCGUGAGAUGUUGGGUUAAGUCCCGCAACGAGCGCAACCCUUAUGACUAGUUGCCAGCAUUUAGUUGGGCACUCUAGUAAGACUGCCGGUGACAAACCGGAGGAAGGUGGGGAUGACGUCAAAUCAUCAUGCCCCUUAUGACCUGGGCUACACACGUGCUACAAUGGAUGGUACAACGAGUUGCGAGACCGCGAGGUCAAGCUAAUCUCUUAAAGCCAUUCUCAGUUCGGACUGUAGGCUGCAACUCGCCUACACGAAGUCGGAAUCGCUAGUAAUCGCGGAUCAGCACGCCGCGGUGAAUACGUUCCCGGGCCUUGUACACACCGCCCGUCACACCAUGAGAGUUUGUAACACCCGAAGCCGGUGGCGUAACCCUUUUAGGGAGCGAGCCGUCUAAGGUGGGACAAAUGAUUAGGGUGAAGUCGUACGGGGGGCCCCCCAUAAA